rnacentral:tRNA from 3 species
GCUCCUGUAGUUCAAUGGAUAGAACAAGGGUUUUCUAAACCUUAAACAGAGGUCCGACUCCUCUCAGGAGCA